GGGGGGAGUGCCGGAUUUUGGGCUGUGUCCCCCAGCGCCCUGUGCUCCAGGGCCUGUGCUGCUGGAAUUGCACUCCCGGCCGCGCAGCCCCCU
rnacentral:pre_miRNA from 1 species